CCUUGGAGAGCCACGAUGAACUUCUUAAUGGACCCAAUUGCUUCGCAGUAUCUGCUUUUCGGCAGGCUGCCUCAAGUGAAUAUUGCGAGGUGACCAAAAACUCGAUUGAACAAUGAGGAAUCUUGGUCAGAGAACGUGAACAGGUUUAUCAGAGCUAUGAUUUAAUUAGCCACGACGAAAUUUUUCGAUGACGCACUUGUGGUGAAAAACUUCGUGUUGAAGAUUAUCGAUCCUGAGUCUUGCUAAACCACCUUCAGACCCUGAUUGAAGCUGGAAACCAUGUCUUAGGGCGCUAACUAGUCGCUGAUGUAUCAACAUAUUGCAAAAACAGUGAAUAAAAGUUUUAUUUCGCACA